rnacentral:lncRNA from 1 species
AGAUGUUCAUAACUCUUGAUUUAUACGAUGUUCAUAACUCUUGCUUUAGAAGAUGUCAUAACUCUUGCUUUAGAGGCAAGAAUUAGCCCAAGAACUUUCAAAUAAUAAGUUACAUCUCAUAGGCAAGAGUUGAUAAUACCACAUUGUCUGAAUUUAUGAGAUGUUCUAUAAAUUAUGCCUCUAAGGCAUGAUUUAGCCCAAAGACUUUUAAACAACAAGUUACGCCUCAUGGGCAAGACUUAACACUGCCACAUUGUGUCUUGAUUUAUGAGGUGUUUUAUAUCUCUUGCCUUAGAGGCAAGACUUAUCCCAAAUGACUUCCAAACAAGUCACACCCUUAAUUUACUUUGAUGGCAAAGAAAGAAGAUUCUCUUUGUGGAUUAUCCAACUUUCUGUUCAUUAGCAAAAUAUAACAGAAGUUGAGAAAAAAAAAAGAGAAAGAAAAAAUAAAGGUUAAAAAAAUAAAAAAAGGACAAGAACAAAAAUAAAAAAAGAAAAAAAAUAAAGAUUGAGAAAAACAAAAAUGAGAAGAAAAAACAAAAAUAAAGUUUGAAAAAAAUGAAAAAAAGAGAAGAAAAAAAGAGAAAAACAAAAAAAAUAUGAGAAAAAUAAAAGUUGAG